ACCCCAACAUUUCCAUAAGGAAUAUAGAAAAUCUUUAAUUAAGUAUACUAUUGAUACACGCCCAAUUUUUAAUAAGUCAUAUUAUUUCAACGAGAUUUUUCUAUAAUUAAAGUUCAUUUCUAUUAAUUUUUAUCAAUCAAAGGUUUUGAGCCCAAUACUAAAAUACAUUAGAAAGGUUCUUACUAGUAUUUUUCAUUUAUAUUUGUUUAUUUAUUUAUCAGUUUUGAUGGACCUCAAGCCCAACAAUCUCUAUUUAAGUGAAUAAUUUUAUGGGCUUUCAGCUCAAGUAUUGUAAGAUCAGUAGUGGCCCAAAAUUAGGAUGUCAGUGUGAGAAGCUGAGCCGGGCAGCGAGAAUUGAUACAUUUUCCUUUUUCCCCAAGAAUUCUACAGUGUCGAUUUUAUUUUAUUUUUUUCCCAAAAGCUUUGGCUUUCUUUCUUCCACAUCACCUUCUUGUUUCUUUAAGAUUCACCACACCCACAAACAUUCCCCAUCCACACACACCGAUUGCUGAAGGUAAUCUCCUCUCUCCCAUUCAAUUUCCUUUCAUUCAAUUACUUUUCAACUGCAGAAAUUUUAGGAGCUUGACUUUUUAUCGAAUGAAAUCAACAACAACAGCAUCUGUCAAUACUUCAUUUCCUUAUAACUUCAAAGAUUUCAGACACACAAAAUACAAAAAAAUCAAAUCUUUACUUCUAAAAUUUCUCAUCUUUUACAUCUGAAUUCCUUUCCUUUUGAUCCUCCGGUGAGUGAGAGUCGAGGAUUCGAUGAGAGGGAGGAGUGGGGCUGUCCGAGCUUGACGCGGGCUGUCAAGGCCGCGGCUGCCGGCGCUGCAUGCGUGGCAGCAGCUCGCCGGCCACUCGCGGCGAAGGCAGACAGAGUCGGAGCAAGGCGGCGAAGUCCCGGGUGGCUGAACCAGGUGGCGCGGCCGGAGGCCAGGCGCCACUAACGCGGCCGAGAACGGAGCAGCAGCAGUGAUGGCGGCGCUCCUUCCUUGGCCGUCUGCCGUCGGGUACACAAGAGAGAGAGAGAGAGAGAGAGGGGCAGAUGGGAGGUGGUGAGCAGAAGGUAAGGUGAGAAAGGGGAGGUGAUGAGUGAGGGAGGCGUCGGAACCGGCGAUUCUCGCCGGAAUUGGAGCAGGCGGCGGCGGCAGAUCUUGGAGGGAGAAGAGGCGGUGGUUCUGGGAGAGAGAAAAGGAGAAUUAUAAAGAGAGGUGAGGGAGGGCGGCGAGAAGUGAGGGGUGAAAGGGAGAUAAGAAGAAGGAUGAGAGAAGGGAGGCGGAAGCCGCCGUUCGGUGGCGGCGGCAGGAGGGCGUGAGCGGCCGAGAGGGAGAGAAGAAGAGAGGGAGAAAGGAAGGCUGGGGGCUGGUGUGCGUAGUGUGCGUGGGGGGGGGUGUGUGUGAUGUGCGUAGGUGUAGGUUUAAUUAAGGGAAUUUGAAAGAAUGGGUUGGGCUUAGUUUGAUUUAAAUUGUCAAUGGGCUCAGGUACAUUUAAGCAUUUAGGCUUCACUUUAAUUACUUUGGGCUGCAUUAUUUUAUAACAAGUUUUUAAAUUAUCUUCUUGGGCUUGAACUAUUAUUUUGCUGAAAAUGUUUUAAUAAGAAUUAUUAAUUUUUCUCCCAAGAUUAAUGUUUUAUAAUUUAUUUUAAAUUAUUAAUUAUUUUAUAAGUUUUAAACUUAUUUUAUAUAUUAAAAGAUUAUGGAUUCAUUCAAAGAGAUUAUUAAACCGGGCAAAGUGUAUCAAUAGUUAGCGAUUCCAUUUACUUAGAAAUUAGAAUGAUACCUCGAGACCUAUUAAGAAUAUAAUUUCUUGUAGGCUUUGUGACCAAGUGGGUUAGCGCUGCUUUCCCAAGACAAGUUUAUAUGUGUAUGAUCUUCAGGCUUUGCCUAUCCAGGUUGAUCGGUUGGUGCAGACGGGGCUGAGGCGAGGGUUCGACGUUGUCUUUUGCUUCCGCUAAACGACUAGCUUGCUAUCUUGUCUUUCAAUCUCCUAAACUAAGAACUUCUAUUAUAUGGUAAAAUAGUAUCUCGUUGAGCUUA